AUUGAACGCUGGCGGCAUGCCUUACACAUGCAAGUCGAACGGCAGCACGGGAGCAAUCCUGGUGGCGAGUGGCGAACGGGUGAGUAAUAUAUCGGAACGUGCCCAGUCGUGGGGGAUAACGUAGCGAAAGCUACGCUAAUACCGCAUACGAUCUAUGGAUGAAAGCGGGGGAUCGCAAGACCUCGCGCGAUUGGCGCGGCCGAUGUCAGAUUAGGUAGUUGGUGAGGUAAAGGCUCACCAAGCCGACGAUCUGUAGCUGGUCUGAGAGGACGACCAGCCACACUGGGACUGAGACACGGCCCAGACUCCUACGGGAGGCAGCAGUGGGGAAUUUUGGACAAUGGGCGCAAGCCUGAUCCAGCAAUGCCGCGUGCAGGAUGAAGGCCUUCGGGUUGUAAACUGCUUUUGUACGGAACGAAACGGCGAGCUCUAAUACAGUUUGCUAAUGACGGUACCGUAAGAAUAAGCACCGGCUAACUACGUGCCAGCCGCCGCGGUAA
rnacentral:rRNA from 1 species